rnacentral:rRNA from 1 species
GGCGAAAGUAAGAAAGGGCGUAUGGCGGAUGCCUAGGCUCACGGAGGCGAUGAAGGACGUGAUAAGCUGCGAUAAGCUUCGGGUAGAUGCAAAUAAUCCUUGAUCCGAAGAUUUCCGAAUGGGACAACCCAGCUAGCUGAAGGCUAGUUAUCUCUGCAAAAGUAGAGAGGCGAACGGAGGGAACUGAAACAUCUUAGUACCUCCAGGAAGAGAAAAUAACAAUGAUUCCCCCAGUAGUGGCGAGCGACCGGGGAAGAGCCCAAACCAGAGUUGUAGCAAUGCAAUUUUGGGGUUGUAGGACCACGUCGUAGUACUUGAAUGUGGAAUGGAAGGUUCUGGAAAGUUCCAUCGUAGAGGGUGAUAAUCCCGUACAUGAACACAAACAAGGCUUAGUGGUAUCCUGAGUAACGCGGGACACGAGAAAUCCUGCGCGAAUCUGCCGGGCCCAUCCGGCAAGGCUAAAUACUCCCGUGAGACCGAUAGUGAACGAGUACCGUGAGGGAAAGGUGAAAAGCACCCCUAUUAGGGGAGUGAAAUAGUACCUGAAACCAUACGCUUACAAGCGGUCGGAGCUUUAUUAUGAAGUGACGGCGUGCCUUUUGCAUAAUGAACCUACGAGUUACCAUGUCGUGCGAGGUUAAGAGUGAUGACACUCCGAGCCGCAGUGAAAGCGAGCCUGAAUAGGGCGUCAAGUACGAUGGGGUAGACGCGAAACCGAGUGAUCUACACAUGUCCAGGAUGAAGUCCCGGUAACACGGGAUGGAGGUCCGCACCGAUAAGCGUUGAAAAGCUUCCGGAUGAGGUGUGUGUAGGAGUGAAAGGCCAAUCAAACUCGGAGAUAGCUCGUACUCCCCGAAAGGCAUUUAGGUGCCGCGUGUGGUGUUCAGUAUUAGAGGUAGAGCGACCGAUAGGUCAAGAGGGCUUCACCGCCUAUCGAGACCUGACGAACUCCGAAUGCUAAUACUCUGUAGCCAUGCAGUAAGGGUGCGGGUGCUAAGGUCCGUGCCCGAGAGGAGAAGAAUCCAGACCGCCGUCUAAGGUCCCGGAGUGCUGCCUGAGUUAGUCUAACGAAGUAUGGUCCCUGAGACAGCCAGGAUGUUGGCUUGGAAGCAGCCAUUCAUUCAAAGAGUGCGUAACAGCUCACUGGUCGAGGGUCCGUGCAUGGAUAAUAAUCGGGUAUAAGGUAGCCACCGAAGGCGCGGGAUAGUAUUUAAGAAAGUAUCGGUAGGGGAGCAUUCUUGCGACGCUGAAGGUAGAAGGACGACUUCUGCUGGAGUUUCAAGAAAAGCAAAUGUAGGUAUAAGUAACGAUUAGGGGUGUGAGAUCCACCCCCGCCAUAAGGCUAAGGUUUCCCGGGCGAUGUUUGUCAUCCCGGGGUCAGUCGGGUCCUAAGGCUACGCCGAGCGGCUAGGCCGAUGGCUGACACGGUUAAUAUUCCGUGACUUCCUAUAGGAGCGAUUGUGGUGACGCAGUAGUGACACUGCCGCGCGCUGACGGAAAUGCGCGUUAAAGUGUGUAGGUUAUGAGGAAGGCAGGCAAAUCCACCUUCCGAGCUGAGACAUGACAGUACGGCACUGUCUUCGGACGGAGCUGACAGAGCAGGUAAUCAUGCUGCCGAGAAAAACCGCUAAGCUUAAUCCUUUAGGAACCCGUACCGCAAACCGACACAGGUAGCCGGGUAGAACAUACUAAGGCGUUGAGAGAUUCAUGGCUAAGGAACUAGGCAAACUGACCCCGUAACUUCGGGAUAAGGGGUCCUCUGGUAACAGAGGCGCAGAGAAUAGGUCCAGGCAACUGUUUAGCAAAAACACAGGGCUGUGCGAACUCGAAAGAUGAAGUAUACAGCCUGACACCUGCCCGGUGCUGGAAGGUUAAGAGGAGAGGUCAUCGCAAGAGAAGCCUUGAAUUGAAGCCCCAGUAAACGGCGGCCGUAACUAUAACGGUCCUAAGGUAGCGAAAUUCCUUGUCGGGUAAGUUCCGACCUGCACGAAUGGUGUAAUGAUCCGGACGCUGUCUCGGCCAUGAUCUCAGUGAAAUUGUAGUAUCGGUGAAGAUGCCGAUUACCCGCGAUGGGACGAAAAGACCCCGUGAACCUUUACUGCAGCUUAGCACUGGACUUGGGCAUCGGAUGUGUAGGAUAGGCCGGAGGCU